GGAACGAUUGCUAAUACCCGAUAUGCCCUUCGGGGUGAAGGUUUUAUCGCCUGAAGAUGACCUCGCGUCCGAUUAGCUAGUAGGUAUUGUAAUGGACUACCUAGGCGAUGAUCGGUGCUGGUUUGAGAGGACAAUCAGCCACACUGGGACUGACACACGGCCCAGACUCCUACGGGAGGCAGCAGUGGGGAAUUUUCCGCAAUGGGCGCAAGCCUGACGGAGCAAUACCGCGUGGGGGAGGAAGGUCUGUGGAUUGUAAACCCCUUUUCUCAGGGAAGAAGCUCUGACGGUACCUGAGGAAUCAGCAUCGGCUAACUCCGUGCCAGCAGCCGCGGUAAUACGGAGGAUGCAAGCGUUAUCCGGAAUUAUUGGGCGUAAAGCGUCCGCAGGCGGCUAGAUAAGUCUGCUUUCAAAGAGUGGGGCUCAACCCCAUAGGGGGAGUGGAAACUGUUUAGCUAGAGUAUGGUAGGGGCAGAGGGAAUUCCCAGUGUAGCGGUGAAAUGCGUAGAUAUUGGGAAGAACACCAGUGGCGAAGGCUCUCUGCUGGACCGA
rnacentral:rRNA from 1 species